rnacentral:rRNA from 1 species
AUACGGAGGAUGCGAGCGUUAUCCGGAUUCAUUGGGUUUAAAGGGAGCGUAGGCGGGAGCUUAAGUCAGCGGUUAAAUGGUGCGGCUCAACCGUGCCCUGCCGUUGAAACUGGGUUUCUUGAGAGUGCAAGAGGCGGAUGGAAUUCAUGGUGUAGCGGUGAAAUGCUUAGAUAUCAUGAAGAACUCUGAUUGCGAAGGCAGUCCGCUGGGGCACGUCUGACGCUGAUGCUCGAAGGUGCGGGAAUCAAACAGGAUUAGAUACCCUGGUAGUCCGCACGGUAAACGAUGAUUACCCGCUGUCGGCGGCAGACAGUCGGCGGCCAAGCGAAAGCGAUAAGUAAUCCACCUGGGGAGUACGCCGGCAACGGUGAAACUCAAAGGAAUUGGCGGGG